rnacentral:misc_RNA from 1 species
GCCCUGGAAUAUACGUACAGGUUUCUAUUGGCAUGCCUGAUUUAUCUUAAUGGAACUUAUGCUUGCUCUUUAUUUCUCCUUCAAAUCAAUAGCUAUUCUGUAGAUACCUCUACAUUUUGUACAAGAUAGAGCAAAAUUUUGGAAUAUGAUUCACCCGGGUACUACAACACUAGUUUUGAACACCUUACGGCUUUACAAUUAUAUAGAGAUACUGUUGGGAAUUCCCUUGCCAGUAAGUCCACCCUCUCUAGAGUCAUCUGUGGUGUUAGGGAAAAGCAAGGUAUAAGGCACCUUGACAGGCCCAAGUCUAUUCCUCCAUUUCUCGUCGUUGUUCAUAUCUAUAAUUUUCUUUUCAAUUUCUUUCAGCCUUUUUGCAAAUCUUUCAAAUGCUGCUAGUGGUUCAGGAUCUGAAGUCCAUUCAGUAAUAUCUCUCUGCCCAAGGUAGACCUCAUCAGUUGAAUGCCUUGAUAAAAUCUCAAUGAGGGAUACACCAAGGAGGGUUUGUAGCUGGGCUGUGAUUGUUUUCAGGAAGGCAAGGUCUGGAUCUCUCUCCAGUUCUUCAUAAUCAGNUCAGGGGUGCCUGGCUCAGGCAUGAAACGGCGACUUACUGUUGGACGGUUAGGGAGGUAGCCAGCAUAAGGAUAUUGCCCAAAAUUGACAGCUGCAUGGAGGGCUGAAGCUAUCCAUAUGAUAAUAGUGCAUGUUUGUGUAAGAUCNUUUGUGUAAGAUCAGCUUGUGUCUGCAUUUCAGGCCACCAUGGUUCAUCUUUCUUGUCACCAUGGCCAACAUUGCGAAUCUCUGUCCACCAUGAUUGCAGUUCAUUAUCAUUUCG